rnacentral:tRNA from 1 species
GCCGAGGUGGCGGAAUUGGUAGACGCGCACGGUUCAGAGCCGUGUCCUUUUUGGGUGUGGGUUCGACUCCCACCCUCGGCACCC